rnacentral:lncRNA from 1 species
UUUAAAUUAAAUUGUUAUGUUCUUUUAUUUCAAAAUUCGGAUCAAGUAUUUAUUUUCGAACUGUGAAUGAUAUUAUAUGAUUUUGAACUGUGAAAAAGUAUCAUUUAUAUUAUCGAUAAUAUUGAGAAAAGUUUUUGAAAUCCUCAGUCUGACUAUGUAUAGAACCCGUUAUUGAUUACGUUUAGUUACGGAGCUAAUAUAGGAC